rnacentral:rRNA from 1 species
UACGUAGGGAGCAAGCGUUGUUCGGAUUUACUGGGCGUAAAGGGCGCGUAGGCGGCAGAUUAAGUCAGCUGUGAAAUCUCCGAGCUUAACUCGGAACUGUCAGCUGAUACUGUUUUGCUAGAGUGCGGAAGGGGCAAUCAGAAUUCUUGGUGUAGCGGUGAAAUGCGUAGAUAUCAAGAGGAACACCUGAGGUGAAGACGGGUUGCUGGGCCGACACUGACGCUGAGUGCGCGAAAGCCAGGGGAGCAAACGGG